rnacentral:rRNA from 1 species
CGGGACGGGGUGAGUAAUGUCUGGGAAACUGCCUGAUGGAGGGGGAUAACUACUGGAAACGGUAGCUAAUACCGCAUAACGUCGCAAGACCAAAGAGGGGGACCUUCGGGCCUCUUGCCAUCGGAUGUGCCCAGAUGGGAUUGGCUAGUAGGUGGGGUAACGGCUCACCUAGGCGACGAUCCCUAGCUGGUCUGAGAGGAUGACCAGCCACACUGGAACUGAGACACGGUCCAG